UUUAUUUUCCUGUUCUGUGAUCUGGCUAUGGCGGAAAACGUUCGACGUUCAGCUUCUUAUGAUAUUUUAAAUGAUGAACAAAAAAAGAUCUUGAAGGAUUAUUAUGAUCGAGGAAUGAUUUCAACAGCAGCUAGUAUGAGGGAUGUCAUCCAAGAAGCUGCGAACCAAGCUAAUAUCACGUUUGAAAGAGUCAAGAAAUGGAUUGGGAAUGAAAAGCAGUCCAGAAAAAGAAAAGCCAGCUCUCAUCAAGAUGAGGAGUUAAGACUGUGCCCUUCAAAGCGUAGAACUACAGCAUAUAAUCUUUUUUGCUCGCAUAUGCUGAACUCAGGUUCUGAUCUAUAAACUGUAUGUUUUUUAUGGCCUGUACAAUAUGUAUCAUCUUUAUUCCACCAAAAGUGCUAAGACAAAACCUGUGCAGUCGUCAUUUAAACCCAAAAGAGUACUGAGCUCAAAUUCUGAGAGGUUGAAGUUAGCUGUAGACCACUGGAACUUGUUAGGGGCAGAGGAACGUGUGAUUUGGGCAGAAAGAGCAAAGGCUGUUCAAAGCAAUGACAUUCAUGACCUGACAGUUAAGCAGCGCACAAACCAA